rnacentral:rRNA from 1 species
AUACGGGGGGCGCAAGCGUUACUCGGAAUCACUGGGCGUAAAGGGAGCGUAGGCGUUCUAUUAAGUCUCGAGUGAAAUCCCGCAGCCUAACUGCGGAACUGCUCGGGAAACUGAUAGAAUAGAGUAUGGAAGAGGUAGGUGGAAUUUCCAGUGUAGGGGUAAAAUCCGUAGAUAUUGGAAGGAAUACCAGAAGCGAAGGCGACCUACUGGGACAUUACUGACGCUGAGGCUCGAAAGCGUGGGGAGC